CUAAGCAUUCGGGAUGCCCCUUGCUGGUCUUGUCUGAUCUUGGAAGCUAAACAGGAUCUGGCCUAGUUAGUGCUCAGAUGGGAGACCACCUGGUAAUGCCAGGUAGU
rnacentral:rRNA from 1 species